UACGGAGGGUGCAAGCGUUACCCGGAAUUAUUGGGCGUAAAGGGCUCGUAGGCGGUUUGUCACGUCGGGAGUGAAAACUCGGGGCUCAACCCCGAGCCUGCUUCCGAUACGGGCAGACUAGAGGUAUGCAGGGGAGAACGGAAUUCCUGGUGUAGCGGUGAAAUGCGCAGAUAUCAGGAGGAACACCGGUGGCGAAGGCGGUUCUCUGGGCAUUACCUGACGCUGAGGAGCGAAAGUGUGGGGAGCGAACAGG
rnacentral:rRNA from 1 species